GAGUGGAGCUUGCUCCAUGAUUCAGCGGCGGACGGGUGAGUAUGCCUAGGAAUCUGCCUGGUAGUGGGGGACAACGUUUCGAAAGGAACGCUAAUACCGCAUACGUCCUACGGGAGAAAGUGGGGGAUCUUCGGACCUCACGCUAUCAGAUGAGCCUAGGUCGGAUUAGCUAGUUGGUGAGGUAAAGGCUCACCAAGGCGACGAUCCGUAACUGGUCUGAGAGGAUGAUCAGUCACACUGGAACUGAGACACGGUCCAGACUCCUACGGGAGGCAGCAGUGGGGAAUAUUGGACAAUGGGCGAAAGCCUGAUCCAGCCAUGCCGCGUGUGUGAAGAAGGUCUUCGGAUUGUAAAGCACUUUAAGUUGGGAGGAAGGGCAGUAAGUUAAUACCUUGCUGUUUUGACGUUACCAACAGAAUAAGCACCGGCUAACUUCGUGCCAGCAGCCGCGGUAAUACGAAGGGUGCAAGCGUUAAUCGGAAUUACUGGGCGUAAAGCGCGCGUAGGUGGUUCGUUAAGUUGGAUGUGAAAGCCCCGGGCUCAACCUGGGAACUGCAUCCAAAACUGGCGAGCUAGAGUAUGGCAGAGGGUGGUGGAAUUUCCUGUGUAGCGGUGAAAUGCGUAGAUAUAGGAAGGAACACCAGUGGCGAAGGCGACCACCUGGGCUAAUACUGACACUGAGGUGCGAAAGCGUGGGGAGCAAACAGGAU
rnacentral:rRNA from 1 species